UAUAAUGGACUAGUUAGAAAUUGGUUUAAGCUUUAGUUAAUCCAUUUCGUAUAUUGGGCCAAGUGACUGCAUGAAAGAGAUUCUCUUUGGUACUGUUUGGUUCGGGUAUAAGCAAGAACUAGCUAUUACAGGGAUAGGUCCAAGUAUGAGGAUAAAAAAAAUAGUGUUUGGAUGAAAAUUGGGUUGUUCCCGAGGAUAAGAACAAUUUUAGAUAGUUUUAUAUAGAAAAUGAAGGUGUCGGUGGGGAUAACCGAGAACUACUAUUCUCGGAUAAAAAAUUAACGUUUGGAUAUAAAGGGGGGAUAAGAGCCUAUUCCUAUCCCUAUCCCCUAACCAAACGCUGCUUUUGGGUUUU
rnacentral:lncRNA from 1 species